rnacentral:rRNA from 1 species
UACGGAGGACGCGAGCGUUAUCCGGAUUUAUUGGGUUUAAAGGGUGCGUAGGCGGACGCUUAAGUCAGCGGUAAAAUUGCGGGGCUCAACCUCGUCGAGCCGUUGAAACUGGGUGCCUUGAGUGGGCGAGAAGUACGCGGAAUGCGUGGUGUAGCGGUGAAAUGCAUAGAUAUCACGCAGAACUCCGAUUGCGAAGGCAGCGUACCGGCGCCCAACUGACGCUGAAGCGCGAAGGCGUGGGUAUCGAACAGG